CCUACGGGUGGCAGCAGUCGAGAAUCAUUCACAAUGGGGGAAACCCUGAUGGUGCGACGCCGCGUGGGGGAAUGAAGGUCUUCGGAUUGUAAACCCCUGUCAUGUGGGAGCAAAUUAAAAAGAUAGUACCACAAGAGGAAGAGACGGCUAACUCUGUGCCAGCAGCCGCGGUAAUACAGAGGGCUCAAGCGUUGUUCGGAAUCACUGGGCGUAAAGCGUGCGUAGGCUGUUUCGUACGUCGUGGGGGAAAGGGGCGGGCUCAACCCGCGGACGGCACAUGAUACUGCGAUACUAGAGUAAUGGAGGGGGAAGCGGAAUGCGCGGUGUAGCAGUGAAAUGCGUAGAUAUCGAGAGGAACACUCGUGGCGAAGGCGGGUUCCUGGACAUUAACUGACGCUGAGGCACGAAGGCCAGGGGAGCGAAAGGGAUUAGAUACCCCGGUAGUC
rnacentral:rRNA from 1 species